rnacentral:misc_RNA from 1 species
CAUCACGUACGCAUGUGCACACAGGCAUGCAGCAGUCUUUCGCUCUUUCUUGCUCUCCCUCUGUGUGACGUUAUGGUCUACGUGCGGCUCAUUACCCCGGCGCUGGCGAGGCUGCUCGAUGCGGCGGCCACCGCGCCUGAAAUAGAGCAGGUCCGGCGUGACUUUAUCGAGGAACGCCUGCACGCUCUUGUGCACACACAGUCACCAUCCCAGCUGGAGGGUGCCCUGUGGAUCUACAUCGUCUCUCAGCAGCAACUGCUUUCGAGAACCGCGCACGACUCCAAAGCCCCGGCUCAGCAGCAGGGAACGAACUGCGGCGCGCUUGAAGCGCCAACGUCGUCCAGCAGCUCCAGCUGUCCGCUGCCGCCCUCGCUCUUGUUGCCCGAGUCCCUGACAUGUAUCAGCGACGCCGUGCGGUGGUACUGUGGCGAGUUGCCGGUGCCUGCUGCUUGCCCGGCAGCUGAUGAGUGCGAGGCGGCUUCACAGACGACGCCGCAGCCGCCGCAGGGGGCGCAACAAGAGAAGCAGCCAAAGUCAAAGACGGUCAUCCACAUCAAGCGAGAGCCUUGUGCCUUGCCGGCAGAGCAACCGGGAGCACGGAUCGAUGAGCUCCUUCGACAGCGCCAGCAGCCGGCCCCGUUACCAGCGCCGUCGCAGCCGGCUCAGCGCCGCGAGCAGGCAGCUGGGCCCCUUGCUACCGUACAGCUGGCCCUCGAUGCACUCGCCCAGCUCAAGCGUGUUCCCGCGCUCCUUCAGCCUCGCACCAUCGCCCUUCUUGUGCGCGACUUUGUCUCGCUCUGGAGCCUCGUCUAUCUGUGCAAGCAGCUGAAGCGCCACCAGCAGUGCAAGGAGCGUCUGCUGGCGGGCACGGUGACCGCAGCGAUCGGGGAGAUGGACGUGAAACGCGGUCUCGGCGGGGACUGGAGGCGUCGCGACCGCACUCGCAUCGGGCACAGCCCUAUCGCGCACGACGCCGACGCCGAGCCCAUCGCGGUGUGCUUCCACGAUUACGAUCUGCUACUGCCAUGGGACCUUGUCCAGCGUGUAUUGUCGCCGCCAGAUGUCUCCAUGGCAGCCACUGCAGCGCAGUGUCGAGCCGUGGAGGAGGCCAGGGCUGGCGCGCUGUCUUCCGCGUCUGCAAGAACGGCCGCCACCUCCCCUGCCUUCGCGCUCAUCCUGAACCCUGCAGUGACGCCUAUGGACGACAACCCAGACCGUCUACGCAAGAACGCACGCAUCGACGCCAUUGACAAGGCUGCCAGCAAGUACUACUACGCCUUGCUGUCAGCUCGCGCGCACGGGCAGACAAGUGAGCACAUCCGCGGCGCACCGUCAGGAGCCUCCUCUGCGUCCGCCGCGGUCCACCAAGAGGCGUUGCGCAGCUCCUUGACGACAGUGGACAUUGGCGAGUACGGUGUGCUCGACCCUUCGAGGAUGCGCGCGCCGUCCUACCUUGCAGGAGCGAAUAGGUCACUCUCUGGUGGCGUCGGCGGCGGGUCGUCGAGAGCGGCGUCGGCAAGUUCGGAGACGGCCGCCAAGUCGUAUGCGUUAUUUCUGCGCGACGCCUCGAUCGGCUUCGACAUCCAGGUGAUGGCCCUCACCGGCGCCGGUGUUGGCUACUACCUCGGCUACCUGCGCGGGUUGUCGUCGGAGUGGUGCACGCUGUACGCCGUGGUCGGCCUUGUGACGAUGAUGCUGGUGGACGCUGGUCUGCUCAUAAUUCGGAUAGGACGGCAGGAUGAGGCGGUGCUCAAGGCCCGCGCACGGAUUCGCCAGCAGCGGGAAAAACUGAAUAAAGAAGGCGAGAAGCUCGUACGGUCCAUGCAGGCCGCCGCAAGUCUAUCUGCGGCCGACGGUGCUGAGCUGACUUUCGCCUCCGCUGGCAAGGCAGGCGCUGCAGCCCCCCUUAAGAUGGAGACGGACCCGCACGCCAAGAAGAACCAGUAGCGCUAGCACUGACGUGCCUCGUGAAUGGCUAGCACAGGAGGUCAGAGCGACAUAUCGCCACUGGUCUCGGCGGCCAGGCCGUGGAUGGCGGGGCGGAAGCAUGGGUAGAGUGUGAGGCGGAGGGGCCGUGCUCUCAGAUGACGGAGUCGGGGCAUUGUGCCGUGACACCUGCGCGUCUGCGGCUGCUUCGCACCACGCGGAUGGGCUGCCUGUGACACAGGGCCGCGCAGGGGCUGUCGCGUGGCGCAUGGCCGCAUGCGGUGCGGGGCAGAGCCAUGGGCGCGUUCGAAAUUCAUGAAACGUCUGAGCUGCACUGCACGUUGCAUUUUUUUUUCUUGUCUGCUGCUCUCUUCCCCUCGGUGGCGGCGCAGGUGUGCGGUGGUCUGCUGGCGUGUUUGCGUGUCUCUUUGGGUGAUUCUAAGCUGCGCGAGCAGACUCGCAUCGCUGUUCGUCGGUGCCGGUUGCGGUAUGCGCACACGCGUACGCGUAAAUGCGUUUUCGCUGCGUGUCUUCGGGGACGGAGGGAGUUCAGGCGGGGGUGGUUCAAUGGAAGCCCGUCACGGCACACCCCGCUCUCACAGCAACCCGUCGAGCGGCAACGCCGGAGAGCGCA